rnacentral:tRNA from 13 species
UGGCCCCUGGGGGCAUCGAACCCACGACCUUCGCGUUAUUAGCACGACCCUCUAACCAACUGAUCUGAUGAUCC